rnacentral:lncRNA from 1 species
AAUCUCCCCCCAAAUUUGGGUUUUAUUUCACCCAAAAUCCACAUCACAGCUUUGCACAGCGCUGUAGGAUCUCAUGGUUGUAUGGUCUUUAAAACCCAACCCUUGUGGGAUCCCACAUUGCCACGAUCCUAAAGGUCCUCCCACCCCAACCCUUGUAGGAUGCCGUGGUGUUAUGAUCUUCAAGGUCCCUUCCACCCCAACCAUUGUAGGAUCUUGUGGUUCCACGAUCCUACAGGUCCUCUCCAUCCCAAACGCUGUAGGAUCCCACAGUUCUGUGGUCUUUGAGAUCCCUAAAACCCAACCCUUGUGGGAUCCCAGGCAGCCACGAUCCUAAAGGUCCCCUCCACCCCAACCCUUGUAGGAUCAGGUGGUGUUAUGAUCUUUAAGGUCCCUUCCACCCCGACCAUUAUAGGAUCCCGUGGUUCCACGAUCCUACAGGUCCUCUCCAUCCCAACCGUUGUAGGAUCCUACAGUUCUGUGGUCUUUGAGAUCCCUACAACCCUAACCUUGUGGGAUCCCACGCAGCCACGGUCCUAAAGGUCCUCUCCACCCCAACCUUUGUAGGAUCCCGUGGUGUUAUGAUCUUUAAGGUCCCCUCCACCCCAACCAUUUUAGGAUCCCGUGGUUCCAUGAUCCUAAAUAUUCCUCCCAACCCAACCACUGUAGGACCUCAUGGUUGUAUGGUCUUUAAAACCCAAACCUUGUGGGAUCCCACAGUGCCAUGAUCCUAAGGGUCUUCCCAUCCCAAUCCUUUUAGGAUCCUGUGGUGUUGCGGUCUUCAAGGUCCCUUCCACCCCAACCAUUUUAGGAUCCCGUGGUUCCACGAUCCUAAAGGUCCUCCCACCGCAACCCUUUUAGGAUCACAUGGUUCCAUAAUCCUAAAGGUCCUCCCACCCCAACCAUUGUAGGAUCCCAUGGUUCCAUGAUCCUAAAGAUUCCUCCCAACCCAACCACUGUAGGAUCUCAUGGUUGUAUGGUCUUUAAAACCCAAACCUUGUGGGAUCCCACAGUGCCAUGAUCCUAAAGGUCCUCUCCACCCCAACCAUUGUAGGAUCCCGUGGUUCCAUGAUCCUAAAGGUCCUCCCAUCCCAACCCUUGUAGGAUCCUGUGGUGUUAUGGUCUUUGAGAUUCCUUCCACCCCAACCCUUGUGGGAUCUCAUGGUUCCAUGAUCCUAAAGGUCCUCUCCAUCCCAACCUUUGUAGGAUCCCGUGGUGUUAUCAUCUUUAAGGUCCCUUCCACCCCAACCAUUUUAGGAUCCCGUGGUUUCACGAUCCUAAAAAUUCCUUCCAACCCAACCACUGUAGGAUCUCAUGGUUGUAUGGUCUUUAAAACCCAAACCUUUUGGGAUUCCACAGUGCCAUGAUCCUAAAGGUCCUCCCAUCCCAACCCUUGUAGGAUACCGUGGUUUUAUG